rnacentral:rRNA from 1 species
CCUACGGGUGGCAGCAGUGAGGAAUAUUGGUCAAUGGCCGUAAGGCUGAACCAGCCAAGUAGCGUGAAGGAAGACGGAUCUAUGGUUUGUAAACUUCUUUUAUAAAGGAAUAAAGUUAUCCACGUGUGCCUAUUUGCAUGUACCCUAUGAAUAAGGAUCGGCUAACUCCGUGCCAGCAGCCGCGGUAAUACGGAGGAUGCGAGCGUUAUCCGGAUUUAUUGGGUUUAAAGGGUGCGUAGGUGGUUUUUUAAGUCAGUGGUGAAAGUUUGUGGCUCAACCAUAAAAUUGCUGUUGAUACUGGAAGACGUGAGUGCAGUUGAGGUAGGCGGAAUGCGUGGUGUAGCGGUGAAAUGCAUAGAUAUCACGCAGAACUCCGAUUGCGAAGGCAGCUUACUAAGCCACAACUGACACUGAUGCACGAAAGCGUGGGGAUCAAACAGGAUUAGAUACCCGGGUAGUC